rnacentral:lncRNA from 1 species
GAAGAGUGAUUUUGGUCGACUAAACAAUUUUGAUUCAUUAGCUAUGUUAGUUAAUUCGUGAAUUAUUGAAAAUUCGAAUUAAACAGUCCGUCUACGAAUUUUUUUCAAAAAUAGAGAAUUAUUCGCCCCAGGUAACAUACGGUACGGCCCAUAUUACAUCCCUACCAAGAGGCUUCUCCACACGGUAUAUCCUAAAUUAUCUUUAUUGACCUUUCCUUUCAAAUUUAAUAAUAUUUCAAAAAUAUUUUUAUUUUUUAUCUAAAACAAUUUAAAUUACUACUAUCUAACUCAAGUUAAAAAAUUAUAAUUCUAGGAAUUAGAAGAUUUUAUUAUUUUUAUACUUAAUAUAUAGGAAUGAUUAGUAAUUCAUAAGCAAAAACAUGCUAAGUCCUAAUAAUCUUCCGAUUCAAGCUAACAUGAGAAGUUCGUAACAAAUUUGUCAUUUUAAACAUAAAAUAUAUAAUUUUUUUAAAAAAUAUAAAAUAUAUUAUAUUUCUAAAAUAUUAUAGAUCAGUAAAAUAAACAAAUAAUUUUUAUUAAU